rnacentral:rRNA from 1 species
AUUGAACGCUGGCUGCAGGCCUAACACAUGCAAGUCGAACGAGUGGCGUACGGGUGAGUAAUGUCUGGGAAACUGCCUGAUGGAGGGGGAUAACUCCUGGAAACGGUAGCUAAUACCGCAUCCUAUCAGAUUUGCCCAAAUGGGAUUAGCUAGUAGGUUGGGUAAAGGCUCACCUAGGCGACGAUCCCUAGCUGGUCUGAGAGGAUGACCAGACACACUGGAACUGAGAAACGGUCCAGACUCCUACGGAAGGCAGCAGUGGGGAAUAUUGCACAAUGGGGGCAAGCCUGAUACAGCCAUGCCGAGUGUAUGAAGAAGGCCUUCGGGUUGUAAAGUACUUUCAGCGGGGAGGCGUUACCCGCAGAAGAAGCACCGGCUAACUCCGUGCCAGCAGCCGCGGUAAUAA